UACAUGUGGGGCAAGCGUUGUUCGGAAUUACUGGGCAUAAAGGGUGCGUAGGCGGUUUGUUAAGUCACUGGUGAAAGUUUUCGGCCCAACCGGAAAAUUGCCUGUGAUACUGGCGAACUUGAGUGCGUGGGGGGUGGGGGGAACGAGCAGUGUAGCGGUGAAAUGCGUAGAUAUUGCUCGGAAGGCCGGAGCCGAAGGGGCCCCACUGGUACGUAACUGACGCUGAGGCACGAAAGCGUGGGGAGCAAACAGG
rnacentral:rRNA from 1 species